CCGUGAUUACAUUAAUUACCGACCCAAAAGUCCAAAACCAAUGUAUAAUCAAAAUCACAUUCAGUGACAAUCAUAUAACUAUUAAAGUCUUAAUGCUAGUGUUAAAAAAAGAAAAGAAAAAAGUACUUGCUUGUAGGAACGAAUUGGAAAAGGAGUUCUAGUUUAACAUUUCAAUUUUCAACAUCCCGCGUUCAGAUGUUCACUUCCCACUUAAUUUUGAACCUCCCUCCAAAUCCCCCAUUUUAGGUUAGCUAUCAGAUUCAUUUCAUUUCUCUUCCCAUCACCACAGUCCUCCACUUACUUGCCGAUCUCCAUCAGUCAUCAGGACUCAGAGCAAGUGAUUACGGGGUGAAAGGUUUGAUCGAUUUUGAGUCCUUGAUCUUAGUCUGAAGAAGAAGAAGAAUCGCCCAGACACUGAGAAGGUUUUGAGGUUAGUCACAGUCCAAGUCUGAGGCAUAUUUUUUUUCUUUCCUUUGCUGCCUUUUGUGGAUGCAUUCUUCUAAACCAAGCAUCAGUUCGUUGUGAAUUGGAUUCUUCUGCUGUAAAUUUAGGAUCUUUAAAUACCUAAUUCAGAUUUGGAAAGUGCUUGAGAAUGCAAGACUGGACCUAUCUAUGUUUUCAUACGACUAUAUUCUAGGUGACUGGUUUGAGGAAGAAGCCAUCUUCACUGUUGUGACUGCAGGUGCUAAAUAAGACAACUGGUACUUUCAGCAAAUCUCCCUCCUGUUUCUUCAGUACUGCUUCUAAGGUUGCUUUGGAGUGUUAAACUUUCUUGGUGUUUUGAUCGGUAUUAUCCUCAUUAAUAUACAAACGGAACCACUUGUGAUCUUACAAAACAAGUGACGAGAUACUGAAAUAUGAAGCUAUGAACUUUGUUUAGUUUUCAUUUUUCUGUUCCCAUCCCUCUUCUCCUUACUCUAUAUGCAUUUGGCAAGUGAGAUUUGUAUGCUCAGACCUGAGAGCUAUGAUUAGUUCAAUUACAGAGAUAUCCACCUGCAAGUAUGCAGUUGCAAUUAAAUGCCCCACACUUUGCAAGCAUCCAUUAUUCCUAUCAGAGAGACCGGUAUGGCAGACCAUUAAUUGUAAUGUACUUUCCCAAGGAUUACAAGGAAACCCAAGUUGAGGAUGAAGAAUCUAAAAUUAAGCAGAUGGUUAUGGUCAUAGACAGUGAAUCUCAUUCCAAUGAUGAAUCUGACAACUAACAUUUUAUAAAUUCAGAAAAUUUUGAGAAUGCUAAUGAUAGCCAACCUUAUGUAAUGUCGUAUUCUUUUGCACCUUUCACAAGUUUAUGAAAACCUAGUCAUUGAUUGUCCUUUUAACAUUGUUGCCGUAAUAUUUCGAGAUGGAUAUCAUAUCCUGAAUUGAUACUAGUAAAUCAGAAUGUUUAUACCACAUUUACUUAAAAGCAGCAAAUAUGCUUUUUUAUAAUUCCAGAAAUGGUGAAAGGCGGGUUAGAUAAACUACAUGGCACCAAUAUUAGUCUUGGAACAGUCGGGAAAAUGCCGGAUCAAAGACAUUGAUCAUCUGGAACACCAU